ACUAAGCGUACACGGUGGAUGCCCUGGCAGUCAGAGGCGAUGAAGGACGUGCUAAUCUGCGAAAAGCGCCGGCGAGGUGAUAUGAACCCUUGACCCGGCGAUGUCCGAAUGGGGAAACCCAGUGCAAUCCGUUGCACUAUCGUUAACUGAAUACAUAGGUUAACGAGGCGAACCGGGGGAACUGAAACAUCUAAGUACCCCGAGGAAAAGAAAUCAACCGAGAUUCCCCCAGUAGCGGCGAGCGAACGGGGAGCAGCCCGGAGUCUGAAUCAGCUUGUGUGUUAGUGGAACGGUCUGGAAAGUCCGACGGUACAGGGUGAUAGUCCCGUACACGAAAGCACACUUGCUGUGAACUCGAAGAGUAGGGCGGGACACGUGGUAUCCUGUCUGAAUAUGGGGGGACCAUCCUCCAAGGCUAAAUACUCCUGACUGACCGAUAGUGAACCAGUACCGUGAGGGAAAGGCGAAAAGAACCCCGGCGAGGGGAGUGAAAAAGAACCUGAAACCGUGUACGUACAAGCAGUGGGAGCACCUUCGUGGUGUGACUGCGUACCUUUUGUAUAAUGGGUCAGCGACUUAUAUUCUGUAGCAAGGUUAACCGUAUAGGGGAGCCGAAGGGAAACCGAGUCUUAACUGGGCGUUAAGUUGCAGGGUAUAGACCCGAAACCCGGUGAUCUAGCCAUGGGCAGGUUGAAGGUUGGGUAACACUAACUGGAGGACCGAACCGACUAAUGUUGAAAAAUUAGCGGAUGACCUGUGGCUGGGGGUGAAAGGCCAAUCAAACCGGGAGAUAGCUGGUUCUCCCCGAAAGCUAUUUAGGUAGCGCCUCGUGAACUCAUCUUCGGGGGUAGAGCACUGUUUCGGCUAGGGGGCCAUCCCGGCUUACCAACCCGAUGCAAACUACGAAUACCGAAGAAUGUUAUCACGGGAGACACACGGCGGGUGCUAACGUCCGUCGUGAAGAGGGAAACAACCCAGACCGCCAGCUAAGGUCCCAAAGUCAUGGUUAAGUGGGAAACGAUGUGGGAAGGCACAGACAGCCAGGAUGUUGGCUUAGAAGCAGCCAUCAUUUAAAGAAAGCGUAAUAGCUCACUGGUCGAGUCGGCCUGCGCGGAAGAUGUAACGGGGCUAAACCAUGCACCGAAGCUGCGGCAGCGACACUAUGUGUUGUUGGGUAGGGGAGCGUUCUGUAAGCCGUUGAAGGUGGCCUGUGAGGGUUGCUGGAGGUAUCAGAAGUGCGAAUGCUGACAUAAGUAACGAUAAAGCGGGUGAAAAGCCCGCUCGCCGGAAGACCAAGGGUUCCUGUCCAACGUUAAUCGGGGCAGGGUGAGUCGACCCCUAAGGCGAGGCCGAAAGGCGUAGUCGAUGGGAAACAGGUUAAUAUUCCUGUACUUGGUGUUACUGCGAAGGGGGGACGGAGAAGGCUAUGUCAGCCGGGCGACGGUUGUCCCGGUUUAAGCAUGUAGGCGGAGGUUCCAGGUAAAUCCGGUACCUUGUUAACGCUGAGGUGUGAUGACGAGGCACUACGGUGCUGAAGUGAUAAAUGCCCUGCUUCCAGGAAAAGCCUCUAAGCAUCAGGUAACACGAAAUCGUACCCCAAACCGACACAGGUGGUCAGGUAGAGAAUACCAAGGCGCUUGAGAGAACUCGGGUGAAGGAACUAGGCAAAAUGGUGCCGUAACUUCGGGAGAAGGCACGCUGAUGUGUAGGUGAAGUCCCUGCGGACGGAGCUGAAAUCAGUCGAAGAUACCAGCUGGCUGCAACUGUUUAUUAAAAACACAGCACUGUGCAAACACGAAAGUGGACGUAUACGGUGUGACGCCUGCCCGGUGCCGGAAGGUUAAUUGAUGGGGUUAGCUGUAAGGCGAAGCUCUUGAUCGAAGCCCCGGUAAACGGCGGCCGUAACUAUAACGGUCCUAAGGUAGCGAAAUUCCUUGUCGGGUAAGUUCCGACCUGCACGAAUGGCGUAAUGAUGGCCAGGCUGUCUCCACCCGAGACUCAGUGAAAUUGAACUCGCUGUGAAGAUGCAGUGUACCCGCGGCAAGACGGAAAGACCCCGUGAACCUUUACUAUAGCUUGACACUGAACACUGGUCCUUGAUGUGUAGGAUAGGUGGGAGGCUUUGAAGCGUGGACGCCAGUCUGCGUGGAGCCGCCCUUGAAAUACCACCCUUUAAUGGCUGGUGUUCUAACGUAGACCCGUAAUCCGGGUUGCGGACAGUGUCUGGUGGGUAGUUUGACUGGGGCGGUCUCCUCCCAAAGAGUAACGGAGGAGCACGAAGGUUGGCUAAUCCUGGUCGGACAUCAGGAGGUUAGUGCAAUGGCAUAAGCCAGCUUGACUGCGAGCGUGACGGCGCGAGCAGGUGCGAAAGCAGGUCAUAGUGAUCCGGUGGUUCUGAAUGGAAGGGCCAUCGCUCAACGGAUAAAAGGUACUCCGGGGAUAACAGGCUGAUACCGCCCAAGAGUUCAUAUCGACGGCGGUGUUUGGCACCUCGAUGUCGGCUCAUCACAUCCUGGGGCUGAAGUAGGUCCCAAGGGUAUGGCUGUUCGCCAUUUAAAGUGGUACGCGAGCUGGGUUUAGAACGUCGUGAGACAGUUCGGUCCCUAUCUGCCGUGGGCGCUGGAGAAUUGAGGGGGGCUGCUCCUAGUACGAGAGGACCGGAGUGGACGCAUCACUGGUGUUCGGGUUGUCAUGCCAAUGGCACUGCCCGGUAGCUAAAUGCGGAAGAGAUAAGUGCUGAAAGCAUCUAAGCACGAAACUUGCCCCGAGAUGAGUUCUCCCUGAGACUUUAAGUCUCCUGAAGGAACGUUAAAGACGAUGACGUUGAUAGGUCGGGUGUGUAAGCGCAGCGAUGCGUUGAGCUAACCGAUACUAAUGAACCGUGAGGCUUAACC
rnacentral:rRNA from 1 species